rnacentral:rRNA from 1 species
UAGGGAAUCUUCCACAAUGGACGCAAGUCUGAUGGAGCAACGCCGCGUGAGUGAAGAAGGCUUUCGGGUCGUAAAACUCUGUUGUUGGAGAAGAAUGGUCGGCAGAGUAACUGUUGUCGGCGUGACGGUAUCCAACCAGAAAGCCACGGCUAACUACGUGCCAGCAGCCGCGGUAAUACGUAGGUGGCAAGCGUUAUCCGGAUUUAUUGGGCGUAAAGCGAGCGCAGGCGGUUUUUUAAGUCUGAUGUGAAAGCCCUCGGCUUAACCGAGGAAGCGCAUCGGAAACUGGGAAACUUGAGUGCAGAAGAGGACAGUGGAACUCCAUGUGUAGCGGUGAAAUGCGUAGAUAUAUGGAAGAACACCAGUGGCGAAGGCGGCUGUCUGGUCUGUAACUGACGCUGAGGCUCGAAAGCAUGGGUAGCGAACAGGAUUAGAUACCCUGGUAGUCCAUGCCGUAAACGAUGAAUGCUAGGUGUUGGAGGGUUUCCGCCCUUCAGUGCCGCAGCUAACGCAUUAAGCAUUCCGCCUGGGGAGUACGACCGCAAGGUUGAAAC